rnacentral:rRNA from 1 species
AACGAACGCUGGCGGCAGGCUUAACACAUGCAAGUCGAACGGAUCCUUCGGGAUCAGUGGCGGACGGGUGAGUAACGCGUGGGAACCUACCCUGGGGUGGGGAAUAACCUUGGGAAACCCGAGGCUAAUACCGCAUACGCCCUAUUGGGGAAAGACUAUGUUGCCCUGGGAUGGGCCCGCGUCCGAUUAGCUAGUUGGUGGGGUAAUGGCCUACCAAGGCUGCGAUCGGUAGCUGGUCUGAGAGGAUGAUCAGCCACACUGGGACUGAGACACGGCCCAGACUCCUACGGGAGGCAGCAGUGGGGAAUAUUGGACAAUGGGGGCAACCCUGAUCCAGCCAUGCCGCGUGAGUGAAGAAGGCCUUAGGGUUGUAAAGCUCUUUCACCCGUGACGAUGAUGACGGUAGCGGAGAAGAAGCCCCGGCUAAUUCCGUGCCAGCAGCCGCGGUAAU